ensembl:lncRNA
GUUUCAUCAGGUGCAGGUUUUCUUGCACUGUAUGGCUGCAGAUGACUCCUUCCCUUGGGAAGUCAAGCCCGAGCUCCCACUCCAGGACUUACACAGAGAACUGUAGCCAAAAGGGAUGGUGCAGACGUGGUGUAUUUGGCAGGAAAUGUGGGGAUGUAACCCAAAAAGAGGGGACACAAUCUGAAAUGAGGGUCUGAGAGUGGCUGUGGCAGAAGUUCAUGCCAACCCGCUGCUAAACGUGCUUCUAUCAUCACCAUUCAGGUACAAAAGGUUUCCAAGAGGAAUUCCAGCUCAGGAAGUGAGGACACAGAGUAUUGAGCACAUCAGGCACUAUUCGGAGUCUGUAAAUAAAGUUUAUUAGGGGGCUCUGGUUCAAAUAUUACAUGAUGAAGGAAUUCAACAGGCAGCUGAAAUGGAUUCUAAGUGACCAAACAGAGAGAGAAUAUAUCUGUGGGACCAAGAAACUUUUAUCUGUCCAGAAGGAGAGAAGAAAAAAAAAAAAGCCAGGAACGAUCUAUCAAGAGGGAGGAAAUCUGCGCUUCAGCUAUUGCCAAAAUGUCUUAAUUGCUUCGUAAACUCAUCUCAGUAAAUACAACAUGGAGGGCUGCUGUUGCCUUCUGCUGUAGAAUCACAGAAUUGUUUAGGUUGGAAAAGUCCACUGAGAUCACCUCGUGCCACCACCAGCGAUGGGCGCGUGUGGGACCUGAGCCCUCCUUGAACUGCUGCUUGGGGUCGGGCCGGUGGCGAUGGUCUGGGUAGGAUUGUCCAUCACCCACUGGAGGACUCACCCUUACAUUCCUUCGGGUUUAUUUCAGACUUUCCAGUUGCUUCAUUUUCCCUCCUUUCUCUGGGAAGGUGCUCCACUGACUGCCAAAUGCUUCCCACCAUCACUCUUCAGAGCUCAUUUGCUCAUUUUAACUCACCACCAGUGCUGAGUUAACGUUCACUCCCAGCAAGCACAGCGAAUGCAUGGCUCUGAAGCCAUGGGUCUCAAAACACAGAGGUGAACACGGUCACGGGUCCUCUGCCCACUGGGAUCUGCCUCUGCGUAGGUGCCCAUAGCUCCAUUCUAGCCAAUGGGGAUCUCCUCCACACAAGGGUUGAACACGUGGGCUUCCUGGGUACUCCUCCAGCCCUCCAGGCCGUGUUUCCAGCUUAGCACUGAAAGCAUGUAAAUUAAUGGGACUUAAAUAUAUGCUUCGGGUUAACUCUAUUCUAAACCUGAACUAGAUUUUCAUUUUCAAAGGUAAGUCUUAUUAAAAUUUGCAAGGUAAAUUUUCAUCUUUGUGAAGAUGAAACAUGACUGUCC